CCUACGGGAGGCUGCAGUGAGGAAUAUUGGUCAAUGGCCGGAAGGCUGAACCAGCCAUGCCGCGUGAAGGUCAGUGCCCUAUGGGCGUUAAACUUCUUUUGUGCGGGAGCAAUAAUGGUCACGUGUGGCCAGACGAGAGUACCGUACGAAUAAGCAUCGGCUAACUUCGUUCCAGCAGCCGCGGUAAUACGGGGGAUGCAAGCGUUAUCCGGGUUUUGUGGGGUUAAAGGGUGCGUAGGCUGGGAGGUAAGUGAGCUGUGGAAUGCCCUCGCUUAACGGGGUGAAGUGCAAUUGAUACUGCCUUGCUGGAAUGCGGAUGCGGUGGGAGGAAUGUGUGGUGUAGCGGUGAAAUGCAUAGAUAUCACACAGAACACCGAUUGCGAAGGCAUCUCACGAAUCCGCGAUUGACGCUGAUGCACGAAAGCGUGGGUAUCAAACAGGAUUAGAUACCCGGGUAGUC
rnacentral:rRNA from 1 species